AGGAAUGUAGCGCAGUUUGGUAGUGCACUUGUUUUGGGUACAAAAUGUCACAAGUUCAAAUUUUGUCAUCCCUA
rfam:Cicer arietinum chromosome Ca1, whole genome shotgun sequence.